rnacentral:rRNA from 1 species
GAUUAACGCUGGCGGCGUGCAUAACACAUGCAAGUCGAACGAUGAAACUUUUUUGAUUUCUUCGGAAUGAAAAAAAGUGGAUUAGUGGCGGACGGGUGAGUAACGCGUGAGUAACCUGCCUUAGAGAAGGGGAUAGCCUUUGGAAACGAAGAAUAAUACCCUAUGAAACCAUAACCUCGCAUGAGGCCUUGGUCAAAGAUUUAUCGCUCUAAGAUGGACUUGCGUCUGAUUAGUUAGUUGGUGGGGUAACGGCCCACCAAGACAGCGAUCAGUAGCCGGCUUGAGAGAGUGUACGGCCACAUUGGGACUGAGACACGGCCCAGACUCCUACGGGAGGCAGCAGUGGGGAAUUUUGCACAAUGGGGGAAACCCUGAUGCAGCGACGCCGCGUGAUUUAUAAGGCCUUCGGGUUGUAAAAAUCUUUUCUAUGGGAAGAAAAUGACAGUACCGUAGGAAUAAUGACCGGCUAAUUACGUGCCAGCAGCCGCGGGAAGACGUAAGGUCCGAGCGUUGUCCGGAAUCAUUGGGCGUAUAGUGUACGUAAGCGGGUUUGCACGAUAGACGUGAGAUCCUAUAGCUCAUCUAAAGAAGCUUUUUUACUGCUCAUCGUGAGGCCUGUUCUCAGAGAGUGGAAUUCCUAGUGUAUCGCCGAUAUGCGCCCAUAUUUCCGAGUUUUUUUUCUCGCCGAAAAUACAAAUUUUUCUUUCUCUCACUUUUGGGGUUGUGUGCACCCCCCCCCCCCUUCCUCGGAUGCCGGGUCAG